rnacentral:rRNA from 1 species
AUCUAAGCACGAAACUUGCCCCGAGAUGAGUUCUCCCUGACCCUUUAAGGGUCCUGAAGGAACGUUGAAGACGACGACGUUGAUAGGCCGGGUGUGUAAGCGCAGCGAUGCGUUGAGCUAACCGGUACUAAUGAACCGUGAGGCUUAACCUU